rnacentral:lncRNA from 1 species
AGUAUAGUAGAGACUUUCUCCAAAGAGACUACUUGCUUUUCAAUUUUGGUCGUGGUAAACUUUUAAAAAUGGGAAAUAUUUGUUCGUGUAAAGAUAUCAUCCAGACGACAGUCCCAGAUGAAGGGACUGUCCCAAGAGAAAAGUUGGCCUUGCCAGGGAAGGUGCAGCCAACCAAGAAACGAUAUCGUAAGAAAAAAAGAAUGUUGAGGGAUGUCCAGCCCUCAGGAGGCAGUGGAAAAUUUAUAAAGGGGCCUUAUGGAAAUAUAGGAAACUCUAGCAGUAGCAGUGAAGAUCCUUCUCUGGCAAGAAGAGCAGAUUAUAGAAACAACAGACUGCGUAAUCACAGCACAAUAGAAGAGUUAAAGAGAGUGUGUAUAGCAGAGAAGUCGCGUGGCCCUGCUGAUGAUACUCAUAUGUUUGAAGAAAACACUGAAGAUGACUUGGAUGUCAGUUAUUUUCAUAAGGCCAGCAUUGAGAAUGAAUUGUCUGGAGAGAGCAGCCUUGGAAGCAGUUAUGCUGGUAGUAGUGAUACUGAUGAUAUGGUCAGCAGGGAUGAUCCCACCAUCCCAAGUGAAACAUCUUUGGACAGCCUAAUUUGGGAGAAAUAUUAUAGUGUGUUGUCUGUCAACCGCCAGAUGAACAUCCCCCAAGUCAUGGAGACACGUAUAUCUCUAAUUAAGAUUCAGUCCAGGAAGCAGAGAUUCCUUAAUGCUAUAAAGAGAAGGGUGGGUCUUAGGCCCACUGAGUCCUCCAAUAUGGUUCUUGAAAAAUCAACUGUGGAUAUGGCAAGAAAGCCCUGUGCAAUUAAUGAAGAUUUGCAUGGGGAGGAGCGAAUGGAGGCAACACCACUGGACACUGAGGUCCAGACAAGGAAGUACGGGUUCUUUGCUUCUAUGCUGAGAAAACUUGGCAUUAGCUGCUCCGUCCUCAGCUGUAUAAGACCACUACCAUCGACUGUGAUUUUACCAGAAGAGGCCCAUGGCCCUAAAACCGACAUAAGUGGCAAUAUCAACACCGAUUUGUCCAGUCACUACUUCCUGAAAAGCAAAGACCACGUUUCCGAAAUGGACGAUGAACAAACAAGGGCUUCAGGAAGACAGGUAACACCACCAUUGACUGAGGUCCGGUCAAAGAGGUGGAGAUGCUUUUCUGCCGUCAUGAAAAGACUGGGUUGUGAAGAUAUGCAUUCCCAGAAAGAACCUGACAUAAAUCUCCUUCAGUCUGCAGAAAAGGCGCGCAGCACUAACGUGAUCUGUGAGCAGAACAAAAUGAAGGCUUCACAAAAAGAAGAUGGCAAAUCGUCACUAGUUGUGGUCCAACCAAGGAAAAGGAGGAUUUUUGCUCUCUUGAAAAGUUUGGGCCUCAGAAGGGCCCAGGAUCAUGAAUACAGUGGCACACCUCAGAAAAAGAGUGUGCUUAGAGGUGAAAAGGCCUGUGGCACCACAGAAGACAUUGAUACGUUUGAAGAAAGCACUGAUGAUGAUUUGGAUAUUGAUCAUGUGGAUGAUGACGAUGUUGAGAAUGAGUUGGAAAUCCACAACACAUAUGAGGAUAACAGCGAGAAUGACUUGGGGAGUGUCACCAGCGUGCACACCUUUGAACUUGAUACUGAUUCAGAUGAGAUGAAGACAGUUCCUGUUGGGCCUAUACAGGAGGACAAGGAUGUGGAGAAGGGACCAUUCCUAACUUGGAGAGAUGGCCCGGCCUGUAAAGGCCAGGGUCACAAAAAUAUUAUCGGAAGUGACUGUUGAUCCUGUAUUCCCCAGGAUCCUGGAAGUGGCACCAGUAUUUUUCUUUUUUUCUUUUCUUUUUUUUUCCACAGCAUCCAAAAUUUAUUAUUUGGUUUUUGUAACUGAGUUCAGUAUUUCUGGUAUAAUGAAAUAAAGUACCAAUAUUUUUUCAAGUAA